UCAAAAUCUGAUGAUGGAGUGAAUUACUCGAUUUCUUAGACUAUUGUAAUGUAAACUCGAAUUAGAGAAGAUGAUGAGUGGAAAUGGUGAAAAUGUUCUAAGAGAUUGAGUACAAGAAAAAGACUGAUUGGAGUUUGUGGUGUAGCUUUUUUUUAGAAAAAUAUUUGAUUGUUUUUUUUCAUUGAAGAGCAACUAGCUUUUCCUAUUAGUUAUUUUAAUUCAAAAUUCUAAAGAAAUUUUUUACAUUUUUGUUUAGGACAAUUUUUUUUUACAUCUAGAAAAGCAAAACAGAAACGAUCCAUCCCAAAAGUUAUAAGAGUGAGCUUACAAAAAUUUCGAAAAAUAAAACCAGAAUAAAAUGAAUUUUAUCCUGCAUUUGGUCGCGAAAAAACACUGUAAAUUUUUUAAGGAAAAAAGUGAGACGUCUGCACAGCAAACUUUCAUGCCUUGGUGGGCUUUUAUUAUGGAUUUUGUCUUACAAAUGAUUAAUUUGGACGGAGACAAGAACAUUAUUUUUUGCCAAGCAAUACACAUGCACAAAAAGGCACAAAUAAUUGUUUAUUUCUCCUAUCCACAACAGAAAUAUGCAAAAUCUCUUGCACUGCUAACAAAUAAUUAAAAAAAUACAGAGUGCCAACAACGAACAGUGUACCAAAUGGUGAAUACAUUGAUGCAUUCUUACACUGUUUUGUUCUUGGAACUCUAAAUAGUAUUAAGUAACUGAGAGAUACUAGCGGACAUAUUUAAAAACCAACGUCACGCAAUCGAGGCAAAUACCAUAGCCAAACAAAUAAACCAAAUGGCAGGAGAAAUUGUGUUAAUUGUAAUGAAGGUUUAGCUAAAGACCGAUACUUUUUUCAUUAUUUUAUUUAAUUUUAGGGUUAAGAAAAAAUGUGAAAAAAAAUGGAUUUCGAAAGAAGUAUAAACGAAAUAAACCCAAGAUAAAAAUUGACCUCAUCGAACGAAGCAUAGCAGUAGGAUCACAAUAAUGAUCUCUGUUUAGACGAUCAAUUUAAUAAAUUAUAUUGAAAAUGUUAAAAUCACACCAGCAUGGUACAAUUUGAAAUUUAAAUGAAGAAAAUAUUUAUUUUAUAUACUUAAUAUGAACGUGUAUGAUCUGAAAUAGAAAGAUAGUAGAUGGAUAACGUAGGUUCCAUAUUAUAAACAAAAAUGAAAAUUCACAGAAUUUUCGCCUUUGUAGACGAGAAGCGAUCUUUACAUAAAAAAAAAUGAAUAGCGGGUCAACGAGCAAUAUUGUUCGAAUUUAUGUCUUUCUGAUCUGUUCUAGUCUGAUCAAAAAAUUAUAUUAAUUUUAAUGACCCCAAAGUUGUUCGACGCAUCACCUUAACAAAGAGACUUACAAAUCUUAAUUGACACCUGUUUGACAAGAUCACAAUAUAUUGGAAACUUCUACAUUCGAGUUUGUAUGAGCAUUUGUACUACCCUUUCAUGGGUACAUAUUCAUGAAAUUACUUUUAUCAAUCAUAAGGCUUGAUUUUUACUUACCAAAAAAAUACUCCGAGUGUCAAAGUACAUUUUCGUGCAAUUUAAAGAAGGAACGUAGUCAAAAGGAACGUUUGCUGUCGAAUUUAUUAUUUGGAGCGUAGGUGGCACAUCUUCAUUUUUUUUAUUCAAAUGUAGAUUAUUGCAAGCUUCUUUCAGAACCUUGGAUAACUGCACAGUUGGGUGUCUAUAGAAGAAAGGCUUACUUUACGGUAAAUGCUCGUAGAAUCUAUAGAUAGAUAGGUAGAUCUACCUAUCAUAUUAAAUGCUUAUUUCAGUGAACACAUUUUUGGCUUUAUAUGCUCACAAAUGCCGUUGAAGCUCGUAGCUGCACAAUAUGUGGCAUGUUUUGAAGUUAUCUCUUUAAAACUAAAAUUUUCAAUUUUUACCGAAUUAUCUUAGAUUCGGGUGAGUUAAGAUUCUUAACAUUGAGCUUCAGGUCAUGAAGACUUUCAACUUUCAGGUAUAAUUCUAGUAAAAUCCAACCUGUCAGAGACAAAGCGAAAAAGUACAGUUAGAAACCUGAUUUGUUUUUUGAAAAAGCUUAUGUAUUCCGAUGAUUUACACCUUUCAGUAACGGCUGGCGCUUUGCAAUUUAUUCAUUAAAUCUACUACUUCUUGUAUUUACAAUAUGUUUAUGUUUAAACAUCCACUUUACCAUGAAAAGAUUCACUAGCUAGAGAUCAUUGAUUUUAUGAGACUUGUGUCGAGUUACCAAUAAUUUGAUAGAUAGAGUUUCGAUAAUUUUUGAGAGAGUUCAGGCGUGGGGUACUUUUGAUUUAUGUGCUAAUCGCACAUUGUGCUAUUCAUUCUAUAAAGGCAAAAAUUUUGUUAUUUUCGUUUUUUUUUCUCUGUGGUACCUAGUAGGUAGUGAAAGAGCGAGAGAGACAGAAAGACAGAGAGCAAGUAAGAGAAAAGUUUAUUGAAUUCGUAUACAAAUGAGUAUAUAUAUUUUUUUAAAAAGGAAUGCCAUAAAUUCGUUAAACAUUUUGAUAUUAAAUUUUAUAAUACAAAAAUAAAAACAAAAAAAAUUUAAAAAUAAAAAACUGAAACAACACCAUACUUAAAAAACAAAAAGACAAUUGUGCAUUACAUUAUUAUAUAUUGCAUUACAUCUUUCUAGAGAACCAGAAUUAAUUUAUUAUUAAUUAUUCUAUAUAUAUCAUACAUUUCAACGCUUCCAAAAUGGUAUAUAUAAAAAAAUAAAAUAAAUCUUUUGAAUAAAAGUGAGAGUAGGAAUCGGGUGUAAGACAACAAAAUAUAUUUCUAAUUUAAAAAAAAUCCUAAUGUUAUAAAUUCACAAAAAUUCUAUCGAAAUAAUUAAGUGUUAAGAUUAUCUUAAAGUUUCUCUAAAAAGCAACCCGAUCUACGGUGACCUAAAAAAAAUCGUCUUAUAAAUUUGGGUUAAAUUAAUUAGUCCAGACUCUUGUCAGAAACAUUGGCUCAGCGUAACGUAUUUCUGUAUUACCUGAUUUUAAUGGUUGUUCUCUGUGAAUUAUCUACCAAAAAAAAGCUCAGAAUUUUGAGCCUCUGAAAUUGUUUUCCUUGUAGCCCUUCUGUUACAUUUAGUAAAAGGUAAAUCGUUUUUUCGUGAAGAUGCACCAACAGGGAGAUUGGAAAACCAAUUUUCCUUUUGCAAACUGUGACAAAGGAGCUUCGGUGCAAGGAAUAAAAAUUCAAAGGCUUUUUUGGGCGAUACUUUACACCACUUAAUGAUAUGAUUGAAGCUGAAAGUCAAAUACCGACACUAUUUUGUCACAGUCCGAAAACAUUCUUCAUCAAAAUGUCCGAUGUCGGAGCCAGUCUUUUAAAAAGAAAAGUCUUUUCCGCCUAACAAAUAUUUUGAAGAUAGCUAAAUGAGACAAGAGCUUUGACUAUUAUUUAUCAAAAAUAUCACCACAAAAAAUAGAUAAAACUUCAAGACGAAAAUUCACUUGAAUUUUAAGUAUUAAAAUUCACAAAAUGCAAUGUUGAGAUGUUUCUUAAAAUGUUGCCUGUUUUUGGAUACGAAAAGACGUAUUCUUCCCUAUUUAAUUUUUGAUUCAAAGUGUGAUAAAAACGUAAUUGUUAAAGAAACGCAAUGGUUGAGACGACAAACAAACAAAUAAAAUACUAAAAAUAAGAGUUGUAGCAAUUAAAUUUAAGUAAAAAAUCCUUUAUUCCUCUCUGAAACACAGACCUAAACAUAAAUUCUAAUUCUGUAGCCACAACACCCUAAACAACUAUUAUUGAUUUCUAAUUUUUAAUUUAUGAAUUUCAAAUAAAGUGAAAGAGAAAUUGUAAAAAAAAUAAAUGAAUGCAUCGCAUGGGGUCGAGGCGAUGUAAAAUGCGAACUAUAUUUAUUAACUAAAAAUAAGUCUGACGAUAAAACACAUUUUGUUAAAAUAAAAAAAAUAAAAAAUAAUCGACAACUUGAACAAAAAACAAAU